rnacentral:rRNA from 1 species
UAACUUGAGAGUUUGAUCCUGGCUCAGAACGAACGCUGGCGGCACGCUUAACACAUGCAAGUCGAACGAGAUUAUGGGGCUUGCUCCAUAAUUUAGUGGCGCACGGGUGAGUAACACGUGGCUACCUGCCCAUCGAUGGUGGAUAACUCCGGGAAACUGGAGCUAAUACAGCAUACGCUCGAGAGAGGAAAGACCGAAAGGUUGUCGAUGGAUGGGGCUGCGGCUGAUUAGGUAGUUGGUGAGGUAACGGCCCACCAAGCCGAUGAUCAGUAGCUGGUCUGAGAGGAUGAUCAGCCACACUGGAACUGAGAUACGGUCCAGACUCCUACGGGAGGCAGCAGUGGGGAAUAUUGGACAAUGGGGGAAACCCUGAUCCAGCGAUGCCGCGUGA